rnacentral:rRNA from 1 species
UGGGGGAUAUUGCACAAUGGGCGAAAGCCUGAUGCAGCGACGCCGCGUGGGGGAUGAAGGCUUUCGGGUUGUAAACCUCUUUCGCUAUCGAACAAGGCCCGCUUAGGGUGGGUUGAGGGUAGGUGGAGAAGAAGCGCCGGCUAACUACGUGCCAGCAGCCGCGGUAAUACGUAGGGCGCGAGCGUUGUCCAGAAUUAUUGGGCGUAAAGGGCUUGUAGGCGGCUUGUUGCGCCUGCUGUGAAAACGCGGGGCUUAACUUCGCGCGUGCAGUGGGUACGGGCAGGCUUGAGUGUGGUAGGGGUGACUGGAAUUCCAGGUGUAGCGGUGGAAUGCGCAGAUAUCUGGAGGAACACCGAUGGCGAAGGCAGGUCACUGGGCCAUUACUGACGCUGAGGAGCGAAAGCAUGGGUAGCGAACAGG